rnacentral:rRNA from 1 species
UUGAACGCUGGCGGCAUGCUUUACACAUGCAAGUCGAACGGUAACAGGCCUUCGGGUGCUGACGAGUGGCGAACGGGUGAGUAAUGCAUCGGAACGUACCCAGAGGUGGGGGAUAACGCAGCGAAAGCUGUGCUAAUACCGCAUGUGAUCUGAGGAUGAAAGCGGGGGACCGAGCAGCAAUGUUUGGCCUCGCGCCUUUGGAGCGGCCGAUGUCGGAUUAGCUAGUUGGUGGGGUAAAGGCCUACCAAGGCGACGAUCCGUAGCUGGUCUGAGAGGACGACCAGCCACACUGGGACUGAGACACGGCCCAGACUCCUACGGGAGGCAGCAGUGGGGAAUGUUGGACAAUGGGCGCAAGCCUGAUCCAGCAAUGCCGCGUGCGGGAAGAAGGCCUUCGGGUUGUAAACCGCUUUUGGCAGGAACGAAACGGUGUCCGCUAAUACCGGGCGCUAAUGACGGUACCUGCAGAAUAAGCACCGGCUAACUACGUG